AUUACUAGUCAUUUUUACUAGUCAUUUGACUAGUAAACUUAAUCUCAAUCAAAAAGAUGCAAAAACAAAAGUUACUUAAGACAAAAUUUAUUAAGACCUUUUAAUAAAUUUUAUAUUGAUUUUGAGUGAUACAUUCGUUUAUCACGGUGUUGUUUUUUUUAUUUGCAAAAAGGGAAUUACUUAAAAUUGCAUGUACUGAAUAGAAGAGAAUCAAAUGAAAUAUCUUACUAGAUCAUAUAGUAACAAAAAAAGAAGAACUAAGCAGAACUAAAGCUCAUUUGCACUUCCGUGCCACACUCUGCAUCUGCAUCGCUAUAAUACAAAGACACUUUUGUUGAUACGCAAAGUUGUGAGAACAUAUGAGAGAGUUAUUUGCAUGGCAGGUUUCCAAAAAGGGAAAAUUCUUGUCCAGCAGGUUCAUCUCAACUCUGAAAUGUUGUGUUCCUCUUUGCAAAUUAAAAAGGUUUAAAAACAUUUACAUAAAGGCUGCUUUAUGUCUCUUAUGAUCAAUGAGGAAGGGAGCUUGAAUAUACUGUCUUCAGCCCCAGAUCUCCCACCGGUACGGCUGAAUAAUUCUUCAUAGUUUUCCUCUGCUUUUGAUUUGGUGAACAUGCAGAACUCCAUGGGUCGUAACGCAGGAUUCUUGCUCCUCUGCGGAAUCUUGAAUUCAUUUUUUUCUCCAGUUACAAACCAAUUUGCAAAAAAUUCACCUACAAAUAAUGCUCUGCUUACAAUUACAAACCCUCCUACAACAGCAACAACAACACAACUUACAUCUACAGCUGAACCAACGGCCACAACUCUAACAUCUACAACAGAUCAUAGAGUUACAACUACAGCCCCUCUUACAGCAACAACACAACUUACAUCUACAGCUGAACCAACAAUCACAACUCCUUCAACAUCUACAACAGAUCACACAGCUACAACUACAGCCCCUCUUACAGCAACAACA